rnacentral:rRNA from 1 species
CAGCAGCCACGGUAAAACGAGGGGUGCAAGCGUUAUUCGGAUUGAUUGGGUGUAAAGGGUGUGCAGACGGCUUAUUAAGUCACUUGUUAAAUUCUUCGGCCUAACUGAAGGUCUGCAAGUGAUACUGAUGAGCUAGAGGGUGGAAGAGAGAAGUGGAAUUCUCGGAGUAGCGGUAAAAUGCGUAGAUCUCGAGAGGAACACCAAUGGCGAAGGCAGCUUCUUGGUCCAUUCCUGACGUUCAUACACGAAAGCGUGGGGAGCAAACAGGAUUAGAUACCCCCGUAGUCCCUGUCUCUUAUAA